GGGCCUACGGGGGGCAGCAGUAGGGAAUAUUGCACAAUGGGGGGAACCCUGAUGCAGCAAUGCCGCGUGAAGGAUGAAGGUUUUCGGAUUGUAAACUUCUUUUGUACGGGACGAAGAAAGUGACGGUACCGUAAGAAUAAGCCACGGCUAACUACGUGCCAGCAGCCGCGGUAAUACGUAGGUGGCAAGCGUUAUCCGGAUUUACUGGGUGUAAAGGGCGUGUAGGCGGGACUGCAAGUCAGAUGUGAAAACCACGG
rnacentral:rRNA from 1 species